ensembl:lncRNA
CUUUUUCCAGUCUUCUCAACUUCACCCACUUUUUGAAAUUUUGACUGUUCAUAUUUAGCAUGACUUUCUGUCACCUGGGUGUUCUCAUGUCUUUCUGUCAUCAGGAGUGCCAAAACCUCAGAGUUCCGUUCAGUGAUUUACCACUUUAUAUUGCAUGAUUGUCUGCCAAGCAUAAAAGCCUGAACAGCUCUCUCACAACUCUUUAGACAUACUGUAAGUGUGCCUUUAUAAGUGCUUCAUCAACAGAAAGAAUCUGAAGUGUGGAUGGAUACGCAGUGUACGUGUAAAUGGACUGAGCCAGCUUUCCAGUAUGUCUGACUCAUUUGUGAUAGUUGGCACUGUCCCAUCAGGUUGCGAGAGCGUCCCCUCCUACGUGGGCAGUGUCUUCCCAGUUGCAGCAACUUCCAUUUGAAUGUUUAAUUUAAAUUGUGCUUUUUUUCAUGCUUUAUGUGACAAAGUACGCAGUUUGCGUAAGGCAACCAACUCCCAGGGUGCACCAUCCCAGUUGCUCAAAAAAAAAAAAAAAACACGCCAUUCCCCCAACCACGCUCACACCUCAUGUUUGCAGCUGAAUGUUCAUAAUUGAUGGAUGGACAUCUAUCCCUGGUUAAAAGACAUCAGCAAUCCCGCGCAGAGAAAAGAAAACGUAAGAAAGUAAAAUAAAACUUAGAGGCGGAGCAACACGUGUCACCCCGCCCAUAUUUGUUUCCCCCGCCUUUGACAUUUUGCUCCGACCCAGCAGGGGGCAGUUUGCGUUGAAACAAACAGAACGGUGGCAACUGCAGCAGCAGAGUAAUAACGAUACACUACGCUGAUUGCAUGAGGUGAGUAAAAAUGGUUGUGUACAUAUAUGUUAACAUUUAACGCAAUGUUCAACCAUUUAUUUAUCCAUGGUAGGUUAAAUUUGAAUAGUUAUUGUUAAAAAGUUAUAACGUGCUCAUUUUAUUGUUCUUUGUGGAUUGUAACAGUACACUCUGUACAUGGCUUUGGGUCUUAGAUUUGAUUUAACAGAGGAUGACAUGCCUCUGAUCAGGAGGUGGUGGUGUGCUGUUCUCCUGGACAACUUCACUUCGCAAAUAUUAUGCAGUUGUGACAACAAUCUAUCAGUUUCCCAGGAACUCCUUUCUGAAAUCCUCAAUGAAGUUGACACAUUCCCUGGUAUGCAGAUGGUUUAGGGAUGUGGUCACUUAAGAAGUUUUUCGGAAAGCAGCACACUUUGCCUGUUGUGGCAAACUGGAAGAAUUUCACUCCCAGCUACUGGAAAAUUUCAAGUCAAACCCACCAGGGUACAGGGGAAGAGGCCAACAUGGUAAACUUCUGGGCUUUUACUCAGAUGUUUGCACAGGAUUUUGCUCCCAGGAGUUUUUUUUUUUUUUUUUUUUUUUUUUUUUUUUUUUUUUCUGUGUGAAAAACAAUCUAUCGUUCCUUAAGGUUUCUCAUAUUUGAUGGUAACAUCAUUUGCUAUGUAUUGCUUUAAGCAGACAUGAAGUCCAUCUAAUUAAUGAAUUCUUAAUUUAGUUGUGACAAUUCUGUGUAAUAUUUCAAUUACCAAUGAUUUUAGAAAGUGUUUAAAGGGGUGAUUAAAUGUAUUAUGUUUUUAAGUAGAAGCAGGUAACUACAUAAAUUCAGGAUUAAUGAGGUUUUCAGUAUUGCAGUUCAGAUAACAAAUAACAGAAAAAGUGACGAGUGUUUUUGGGUUCAAGUUCUUUAGAACCUGUGUAGUUCCUUCCUUGCAACAAUUAUCCAUGGUUUUAUUGAGGUAAAAAUAUUUGUCGGCAUACUGAUUACCAUGUGUUGUAACCAUACAAACACCAUAGGUAAUUAUAGUUUUUGUAGCAAAACCAUGGUUAAUUUUCGUAGGGCUAAGGGAAUGUUCAGUAUAUUAUUGGUGGCGUUCAGAGAUUGGUGAUAAUUUGCUACACACAAUAUAUAUAUAUAUAUAUAUACAUACAUACAUACAUAUAUUACAUAUAUAUACACACACACACAUACACUGUAAAAAAUUUAUAAUCCUCCCAACUCAAAAUUUUCUAGUGACUGGUCACAUCUAAAAUUUUCAAUUGGCCCAAGUGAAAUUCUGUAAAUGUAAUUUUAUCAAUUGUAGCAAUAGUCUGUUAACAUUGGCUCAAUGAGAAAUAAUUUGUUAAAACAAUUGAAAAGAAAUUAGUUUACCAACCCAUGUUAUUGGCCCAAUUAUACAUUUUAAAUUGUAGUAGCAUUCCUUUUUAGUUUAACCUAAACUAAAAAUGUAUUUUGGUAAAUUUAUAUUAGUAAAGCAACUUCACUGUAUUGUUUAUUCCCCGUUGCCCCAAAAGAAAAAAAUAUACAUAUUAAACACUCAAGCCAUACUGCCACAUUUUAUUUAAUACAUUUUAUUAAAUCUACAACAGUAUUGUGAAAAUACCUUAAAUGGUAAAUACAUUGAACAUUUCUGCACAGUAGACCUUAGUAGAUAAAAAUCAUGCAUUUCAAUUCAGGAUUCCAAGAUACACAAAACUCAUUAGACCUUAGAUCUUACAUGAACAAAACCACAAUUAUUUUAAAAACAGGUAUUAUCAGUGUUUAGAGAAAUUUCACUGACAUUUUGGUAUUUAGGUACUACUAUUAUGAAACUGCACUAACAAUAUUAAACAUUUAAAUAAUUUAAAAUAUUAUGUUAAUAUUUGCUAAAGUGCAAAAACGUCAACACAACAUAAAAUGCAAGUAACAGAAGAGGGUUACUUUAAAUAUUCAGUGUAAAUUUACUUGAAUUUUUGUAAAACAUUUACAAAUAUUUGAAACGCUGCAAAAGUAUGAAGUAAAAAAUUACUUCAGGGUUGUGUUUAGUGUAAUUUCAUCUUCUAUAUAAGCUCAUGAAACUGCAUCUUACUCAUCAAAUAUCAAGCAUGUAAACACAUUUACAGAUAUAUAGAAAGCAGCAAAAAACAUUCUCACAAAAGGUACUUUGAGCUUAAGGGUACUUUUCCUGUAAGGGUUAAGUGAAAUUCCACUUAGUUUUCCAAUAAUUUGCUCAUCAGAGUUUGCACUUUUUUGCUGCACUCAGUUCCCAUGUUCAAAAAGACCUUCUGAAUGAAUUCAAAAGUAUAUCUUAAGUCCUUGUUGUACUCCAUGUUAAGUGCGUAGAGUAUGCCAAAGAGGACAAUGAACGCACUCAUAAAGUCUGCCAUGUUUUCCAGGACAACUUCCUUUUCAAGGAUAAUUGUAACAUUUACCACAUGAUGUCCGGAAGUCAUUUGUGCUUCCUGUUCUUAUGAGCUGUGAAUGUAUGGAAACUGUUGUUAAUAAAAUUACAAUUUAAGAAUGGACA